rnacentral:lncRNA from 1 species
UCUUUUGAAUUAGAAAAAAUGAAAGUGUGUAAUUUAGAGGUUUCGUUCCGUUUAGCAACUAUUCUAGAUAAAAAAAAUUUCAAGUUCUUGAGCAACUCCAACACAAAGAUAUGAAGGUGUGAAAAGUACCCCGAGUUGCUUCCAGAAAAGGAUGGUACGGCCGUAUCUGCUCGACUGCCGUGCCUCCACAUAAAUUUAAAGGCCAUGGACGGUGCAUUGUUUAAAAAAAGAAAACAAUAUUGUAUGUUUUUUAUGCAAAUAUUGUAUUUGGAAAUAAAAUUUGGAUCAACGAAAAAUAUUAAAUUGCUAUUCUUUAUUGUAAGAUAUUUUUUUAUUCUUUAUAAACUGAUGUAUUUCGAAUAUAUUUUAAUUAAAAUUAAUUCAUUUCGUAAAAACGUAUAUUACUCUGUC